UAUAUUUUCUCGGUUGCGUCGCCGCAGCAGCUUGCGCUUAGCUUGCUUAGCAUGUUCGGGGUACAAGUGCCCACUAGCGGAUAAGUUUGCGCGCGAGGCUAAAGAACCGACAGUAUUUGAACCUGCGCACGUAAGAAAAUAAAGCGAAACUACAACUGAUU